AAUCAACGCUGGCGGCGUGCCUCAGACAUGCAAGUCGAACGAUUAAAGCUCUCUUCGGAGAGUGCAUAGAGUGGCGCACGGGUGAGUAACACGUAAGUAAUCUACCUCUGAGUGGGGAAUAACCCGGGGAAACCCGAGCUAAUACCGCAUAACGCAGUGGCCCCCCCAGGGGCCAGUUGUUACAGGAGCAAUUCGCGUGAAGAGGGGCUUGGGGCAGAUUAGCUUGUUGGUAAGGUAACGGCUUACCAAGGCUAAGAUCUGUAUCCGGUCUGAGAGGACGGUCGGACACACUGACACUGAAAAACGGGUCAGACUCCUACGGGAGGCAGCAGUCGGGAAUUUUGGGCAAUGGGCGAAAGCCUGACCCAGCAACGCCGCGUGAAGGAUGAAGGAUUUCGGGAUGUAAACUUCGAAAGAAGAGGAAGAAUAAAAGGCGGUACUAUGUAUAAGCUCCGGCUAACUACGUGCCAGCCGCCGCUGUAAUAC
rnacentral:rRNA from 1 species